GAAGUUUGGGGGGAAGGGGGCUCAGGUUAGCAGCUGUUUAAAAAUGCGCUGGUGGAAGCUUUGGGGUCCCAGUGGCAGUUAUAGUUUGAAGAGAAGGGAUGACCUCCUUUGCCAUCCCACUCCAAAGCCCCCCUCCUCCCCCACUCUCCUGCUGAAUGCCAGAUGCAGCCCAUCCCUGCUGGGUGGGACCAGGAUGGAGCUAAGGCCAUGACCUUGACCACAGAGCUCUACCAUUCAAUGUCCACUGUCAAUUAAUUGGGAUGAAAGUGAAGAAAUCCUUGUAGUCUUGGCAUUGCUGUGUGGCAUCUUCAGGCUCACCUAUAUUUAUUUGGUGAAGAGAUGGUUCAAGAUUUUCCAGUGGCUUUCUUAAGGAGGAAUCCCUGGGAGCCAAAGAAAUUGACAACUAUAGAGGGCACUGGGGCACAGAUCUUCCACAGAAAAAUAUACUUGUUUGAUGAUCCUUAAAAAGGUUAGGAGUGAUUAUUCUUAUGCCUGGCCUAGGAUGCUACCUAGUCUAUGGCACCAGAUCUGCAUCUUAGCCAACACAGUGAGGUGGUACAAUGUAUAAAGUCCUGGAUUCAAGAAGAUUCAUCUUCCUGAGUCCAAGUCUAGCCUCAGACAUUUACUAGCUAUGUGACCCUGUUUGCCUCAGCUUCUCCAUCUGUAAAAUGAGUUAGAGAGUGAAAUGGUAAACCACUCCAAUGUUUUUGCCAAUAAAAUCUUAAAUGAGAUUACAAAGAGUUGGACACAACAAACGAUUGAACAGCAGAACCUUCCAGCUGAAGCCCCAGCUCUCUAUUAGCUCCCUUCCUUGAUCUUUCUCUUUCUUCUUCCUUCUUUUCUUUUCCAUAGCAUAAGGUAACAAGAUCAUUGAUGUAGAUCUGGAAGAGGCCCCAGAUAUUAUCUAGUUGAACUCUUUCAUAUAUGAGGAAACUGAAGGCCAGGACAUGGGAGAAACAUCAGUCAGAGAAACCAUCUGGUCUCAUCCGAAGUCUUUGUCCCAGGCCACAAGGCACUUCCAAUGGAUUCUGAUUCUAUCACGUAAGUGGGCUUAUUGUGGUGGUCUAUUUCAGGAGUAAGGAAGAAGAAAUGGUGUUGGGCAAGCAGGUCCUUUGGAGCUGGAAGGAAGAAUGCAUGUAGAUCAUAUGGAGAACAGUUCCUUUUCCUACUGAAUCCAGGGGCUCUGGGACUCUUAGUAAGAAGUUAAUAUUAUUCUCUGGCAUGUCUUUUCACAUUGGCUCCUGAAAUCCUGAAAACCUUAGUGAGCAUUUAGUAAAAAAAAAAAAUAGUAUGGGUUUAUGAAAAGGAGCUGGAUUUGAAGUUAGGAGACGACUUGGCUUUAGAUCCUAGUUCUGAUAUUUAUUAACUGCAUAACUGUGUGCUAAUUGAGCUUCAGUUUCUUUGUAAAAUGAAGAAAAUACAAUCAUGAACUUUUUAGAUUUGAAAUGUAUCAUAGGAUCAUAGGUCUAUAUUUGGAAGGGCCUUAGAAGUCAUUUAGUCCAAUUUUCUAAGUUUAUAGAUGAGAAAUCUGAGCCUCGGGGAAGUUCAAUGUUGUUGUUCAGCCUUCAUUUUUGAAGAUGAUCGAUAACAUUACAGGUGAUGUUUUGAUUAAUGCAUGAACUGGAUAUAAGUGAAGCAAAGUUGCACAAAGAAAUCCAGUGGCAGAACAAAAGUCAGGGUGACUGUUGAUGACUGGGAUGCAGUGGAUGACCUUGAUGUCUUUGAUAUUAACCAAACUCUAAGUGAUCCAUGGAUCAUCUGCCUUCAUGGCCUUUGGAACAUUUUUUCUUAUCUGUCCAUUUCACUGGGAGGAGUCUCUACAUGUUUGGGAUAGACAUCCACUAACUCACCAAUGAACUGAGGCCCAUCAGUUACUCUUAAUCUGGUUUAGCCAAGGUGAUCUUACCAGGGUGUGGCCAUUGCACAUGCCAUAGCUUCUUAAAGCCAUAAGUAGGAGUCAGGAAAUUUCAGUAAUUUGUCCAAGGUCAUAAAAAUAGUAAGUGGCCAGAGCUGAGAGUUGAACUCAGGUCCUGAGACUCCAAUUUCAAACUUAUUCAUACUACUAACCUGGAUCUUAGACAUCGCUAGUCCAAACCUCUCAUUUUAUGGGUGAAGAAAAUGAGGUUCAAGAUUAAUGACUCAUCUAAGUUCAGUGUUAGAGUCCAGAUGAGAAUCUGUUAUCUUGACUUAUAUCUAGUUCUCUUUCUCACAAUUCACAGAACUGCAAAGCUUUGUAAAAUGUAGAGUGCAUUCUGUAAAUGUCACUUAUCAUUUUGUCUUUUUGCCUUUCCUCAAAGAGCAAAAGUGAUUUGGCUAAGGUCACAAACUGAGUCAAGUGGCAAAAGCCAGGGUGGGAAUCACAGAACGUAGAGUUGUAGAAAUAGAAGGAUAUGGAAGUUGUUGUAGAAGGGUAUGACGCUUGAAGAUCAUCUUUGCCAACUCCUUUUCAGAUCCAUGUUCUUAAUAUCAGACCAUGUUGCCUGCCAAAUAUGGCAACUGAGCCAAACGUUUGGUUAUUUUCUCCCACCUGGGCAGAGAACACAAUGGAUUCUAAAGGUACUGCUGGUUCUUCCUGAAAUCUGAGGAUUUGAUUCUUCAUUCACAAAGCACUUAUUCCUGCAGAUCUCUCCUCCAAUAUCAUUACCCAUACUUCCUAGCUCAAUAAGACAUUGGUUCAAUAAGAACCAAUGUCUUCUACUUUCCAUGCCCUGAAUUGGGUCCCAGUCUGGAGUGCCAUUAGAAACAGAGAAUGGUAGAGCUAGAAGAUGGAGGGAGUCUUAAGGAUCAUUUAUUUCAAACCUUUUAUUUUGUAAAAUGCCCCAACAGGGGACAAUACUUAUAUAGGGUCUCAUAGUACCCAAAGUAGAGCCCUGGCCCUCAGACUCCUAGAACAAGUUCUUUCCAUUAUUAUAGACUAUUGUCUGUUGUUCACCAGUAGGAUGAAUCAAUAUAAUAAAAUAACACAGUGGAAUAUUCUCUGGAUUUUGAGUCAGAAGAAAUGGGUUCAGUUUCUCUGUAAUAUGAGACUCAGACAAGAUAACCUCUAAGGUCCUUUUCAUGAAACAAAGCAAUUUGUCUGCAGAGAAAAGCCUUCUCUAAAUAUUCCUGAGGGCAGUUUAGUAGUCCCCUUUAAAUGGAGAUGAUUAAUAGGAUCUUUCCUUUUCUCCUCUCACUUUUUCUCCCCAAGAUGUGAAAAGAAGAACAAAAAUCUGGGAGAUUCUGGCUGUGCUAUCAUCUAGUUUUGUGACUUUGGGCAACUCGCUGUUCUUUUCUUGUGACUUCAGUUUCCCUAAAGUGAGGAAAACAAUGUUUGAAAGACCUAGGAGUUGAUAUAGGAAAAGUUCAGCAUAACCUGAAAGUGCUAUUAAAAUGGGAGUUAUUAUUUAUGAGCCAUAAAAUCAGUGGUCAUUAAAUACUUCCAACCUUGAGGCCAAUGAGAACAGAGUGAGGGAGGGGAGCCAGGUGACAGGCAGCAGGCCCUCAGCACCCCUCCUGGCUUGUAGCUGAGCUGGCUUAGGCCUGCAUGGCCAUAUAAGGGAAGGAACAUUGACUGAAGUGGGACUAGGCGGGGUGGGGGCUGGGAAGGCCUUGCUCAGGACAGGGAUGGAGAAAAUCCAGACAUCCACUGUUUAUUUUCUUCCUGUGCACUUCCUCCUGACUUAUGGGGCUCGGGUUAAAGACCCAGUGUCUCCCUGAGAGAGGCUGCUCCUCAUUUUUUAAA